UACGGAGGGAGCAAGCGUUACUCGGAAUUAUUGGGCGUAAAGGGCGCGUAGGCGAUCUGACAAGUCUGGUGUGAAAGCCCACAUGUUAACUGUGGAAGUGCAUUAGAAACUGUUGGAUUUGAGUUCAGGAGAGGAAGGCAGAAUUCCCGGUGUAGCGGUGAAAUGCGUAGAGAUCGGGAGGAAUACCAGUGGCGAAGGCGGCCUUCUGGACUGACACUGACGCUGAGGAGCGAAAGCGUGGGGAGCGAACAGG
rnacentral:rRNA from 1 species